GACGAACGCUGGCGGCGUGCUUAACACAUGCAAGUCGAACGGAAAGGCCCUGCUUUUGUGGGGUGCUCGAGUGGCGAACGGGUGAGUAACACGUGAGUAGCCUGCCCUUGACUUUGGGAUAACUUCAGGAAACUGGGGCUAAUACCGGAUAGGAGCUCCUGCUGCAUGGUGGGGGUUGGAAAGUUUCGGCGGUUGGGGAUGGACUCGCGGCUUAUCAGCUUGUUGGUGGGGUAGUGGCUUACCAAGGCUUUGACGGGUAGCCGGCCUGAGAGGGUGACCGGCCACAUUGGGACUGAGAUACGGCCCAGACUCCUACGGGAGGCAGCAGCGGGGAAUAUUGCACAAUGGGCGGAAGCCUGAUGCAGCAACGCCGCGUGCGGGAUGACGGCCUUCGGGUUGUAAACCGCUUUCGCCUGUGACGAAGCGUGAGUGACGGUAAUGGGUAAAGAAGCACCGGCUAACUACGUG
rnacentral:rRNA from 1 species